UACGAAGGGGACUAGCGUUGUUCGGAAUUACUGGGCGUAAAGCGCACGUAGGCGGAUUUGUUAGUCAGGGGUGAAAUCCCGGGGCUCAACCUCGGAACUGCCUUUGAUACUGCAAGUCUCGAGUCCGAUAGAGGUGGGUGGAAUUCCUAGUGUAGAGGUGAAAUUCGUAGAUAUUAGGAAGAACACCGGUGGCGAAGGCGGCCCACUGGAGCGGUACUGACGCUGAGGUGCGAAAGCGUGGGGAGCAAACAGG
rnacentral:rRNA from 1 species